CUGUUAGAUUUUAAACUUUCCGAAAUUAAAUAAUAGUAAUAAUAAUUAUCUUAUUUAGCUUAACGGUACAAGUAAAACGCAUAUAUUAUAAUGAAGCGCACGGAGAGAGAAAGUGAAAGCAGUUUACCUUGGUAACAUACGGCGACCUCCUAGCAAAAAAAAAAAAAAAACAUAAUAAUACAUUAAUACGUAUAGUGGUUUCUGACUACGGUUAAAUACCACCAUAUGUAUAUAAUAUCAAACGAUAGGAUGUCCACUUUCGUAUGGACAUAGUGGUAUAAUCAUAUUUCACACGAAUUAUAAAACAUUAUGCUUUAUUAACAGUUUAUUCGAUGUAUGUCUGCACGCACGAUUUCUAAAAAAGCAUUGAACCACAUGCAAUCGAUUUCUAUCGUACUCUUACUCUACACGUUAUACAGAGCGCGCAGCGAAAAAAUUAGCAAUUAUGAAAAUAGAAGAUACUACAAAAUAUUCUGCACAUUAUGAAUCACGGAUGAUGGUCUCAUAACAAUAAGCAAAUUGGACACAGAUGUUUUUUGUGAUUCAUCUAUAGUAGUAUUUUCUACGUUCUAUCCAUAUGUGGUACAUUUGUAUGGGACAACUAUUUAGGAAAUCGAUUUUCAGCAUACACAAUGUAGGUUUUCGAAAUUAAGAAAUUAAAUAUUAGCCUAAAAUAUCCAAGUAU